rnacentral:tRNA from 1 species
UGGCUCAGACGGUAAAGAAUCUGCCUGCAAUGCAGAAGACUCAGGUUCGAUCCCUGA